GGACGUACACAAAGGACCAAAAAAUUUAAACUAUAAUAUAACCUUAAGCAUAGGCUUAUAUAUACUUAGCUCCCCUAGUCAACAAUAUUCUGGCCUGCAUUCAACUCAAAGUGCCAGAUUCAGAUCACCUCUCUUCCAUUAAUUACAUUCCUGCUAAUUCUGGGAAAGAUAGCUAAAACUAAUUUCUCUGAGGAUGAACAAGAGUUGAUAAUCAUGUACAAAUUGACUGGAGAGAGGUGGUCGCUUAUUGCUUAUAGCUGGGAGAAUCCCCGGGAGAGGUGCAGAGGAGAUUGAGAAGUACUGAACUAUCUCCUCUACUGGUCAUGACAGAAACGGCGUCAUUGAUAUGUCCUGAAU